rnacentral:lncRNA from 1 species
GCAGUGUUGAUGGUGUGGUAUAGGUAGUCCAGUCAACAGAGAUUCUCAUUUUAUUUAGGACGUGGGUGCAAAACCAUUUCCGCCAAAUUUUAUAAGAUGGGAGAUUCUCCAUUGGACCACUUUUGGGACAUCAAGACAGCUAAACUUAAAGAUGGAGGACAUGAUCUUAAAGACAAGAAGCUUGUAGAAAUGCAAGAUCAUUCAUUUUGAUGGAUCCUCUCAAGUUGCUAUGUACAGAGUACCAGCAAUCAAGUAUCAUCUUAAUCUAUUAUGAAGCUAGAGAUUCUCUGUGCUGCAGAAAAUUUGAAGAGCUUUCUGGGCUACAGAUGACUUGAAGCUGGGCUCAAGACAGUGUAAGGCCUGGUUUACUUUCACUUUACCUUAAUUCCUGGUGUGAAACUGGUCUCAUGGCGAGCCACACUGGAGCAGAGGCAGAAGAAACAUCAGUAAUACUGAUACUGUCUUCAUUUUAAAAUUUGCUGCUUUGUUCAUUGUGGAUUUUUCAUUAUUUUAUUAAUUAAUUUUAAUUAAUAAUACUACAUUAAAGUAUUAUUUAUGUGGAUCUGUAAGUUUUUGGGCCCUCUACAUUCUGUGGCCAAGGUGAGUACUUCACUUCCCUCACUGUACCCCAAGCCUUGGGAUUUUUACAUCCUAGGAGUUUGAAAAGACAAAGCUCUGAAUUCCCCCAACUUCCUAUAAGAUAUGAUUAAAGAUUUUUAGGGUACUUCCUCCAUUUUCUCCUUUAUUAUGCAAUGUAGAAUUAAUGGUCUAAAGACUUAUAGACUGGAAUGGAAUAAAUAUAAACAUUUAUCUUCACUUUCCCCUGAAACUGUUCUAAAAUUAUAGUUGCAGAAUAAGAAGAUCAAAACCCACAAAGUGAAGAAAAGGGAAAAGAAGGGUAGUGAAUGAGAGCUGCCCACACAUUUUCAGAAGACAACACAGCUGAUGGAGGAGUGCUAUCUGAUCUCGAUAGCAGAGUGCAGGAACCAGAACCCUAGUUUCUAGAGAGAUAGAUAAUAAGAAGUGACCCAAUUCGC